UCCUUCCUUCCUUCCUUCCUUCCUCUCUCCUUCCUUCCUUCCUUCCUUCCUUCCUUCCUUCCUUCCUUCCUUCCUUCCUCUCUUCUUCCUUCCUUUUUUCCUUCAUUCCUUCUUUCUUUCCUUCCUUCCUUCCUUCCUCUAUCCUUCCUUCCCACUCCCUUCCCCCCUCUUUCCUUUUUUUGUUUCCUGCAUCUAUAUAGCUGAGAAAGGUCUAGGCAGCCCACCAAUGGCAGCCAGCAGACGCUUUCCCAGACCUCAGAUACUAUUCCUUUCCACUGUGGGAGAGGCUGGUAAGAAGCAAGCUGACACAUCAUCCAAUUACAGAUGAAUCUGAGAGCCGUAGAGACAGCAGUUCAGGAAAGUCACUCCAGAGACAGCAUAAAGAAUGGGUUCAAACCCGCCAAUGCCAUCCAGCCCCUCUUCCAGAGAGCUAAAGCAAUUUUUCUCUUAUUGCCUCACACAAGGGGCUCUGCCCAUGGAGUGUCCUCUGUCAGCAGUGUGCUGGUGAAUGAGGAAGAAGCUGGCCAUCCUUUUGGGGCCUAUGAAGUCACCUGGUGUCAUGCUCACUGAUCUCCAUGUGUUGAAGCACACAAGCCCAGCCGCCACAGCCAGGAGACAGCGACUCACCUCCAGAGAGCAGCAGUGUCACGGCAGAGCUUAGAAGUUUGCUUAACAUAUCUGGACUAAACCUAGACUUCUUGAUUCCAAAUCCAAAUCCAAGCACAGUAGAGUCUUAGAGUUGGGUUAGUCUGGAUGGGGGAGGUUGGGUAUGUGACCCUGGGCAAAUUAUUUUAUCCCUAGAGUCUCAGCUUUAUCUUCUUGGAAAAACAAUGAAGAAACCAUUCCAACUUCAGAUUGUUAUGGUUGACAGUUCAAUUAAAUGAAGCCAGUAAAAAUGCUAAAUAGCAGUGAAAACUGUGUAAUAAAUGAAAUAUUAAGAAUUAUGUUUAAAAUGCCCAUUUAGCAAUAAUAUGGCUACUUUCAUUUGUAAUUUCUGUAUUAUAGUCAUCCAUUGUCAUUGUUAUUGUUAAGCAUUGCCUGAGGCAUAAUAAACCCAGACAACAUUCACUCUUU